CCUACGGGUGGCAGCAGUGAGGAAUAUUGGUCAAUGGGCGCGAGCCUGAACCAGCCAAGUCGCGUGAGGGAAGACGGUCCUAUGGAUUGUAAACCUCUUUUGUCGGGGAGCAAAAGACGCCACGCGUGGCGGUCCGAGAGUACCCGAAGAAAACGCAUCGGCUAACUCCGUGCCAGCAGCCGCGGUAAUACGGAGGAUGCGAGCGUUAUCCGGAUGUAUUGGGUUAAAAGGGUGCGCAGGCGGAAGAUCAAGUCAUCGGUAAAAAUGAGAGGCUCAACCUCUUCGAGCCGUUGAAACUGGUUUUCUUGAGUGAGCGAGAAGUAUGCGGAAUGCGUGGUGUAGCGGUGAAAUGCAUAGAUAUCACGCAGAACUCCGAUUGCGAAGGCAGCAUACCGGCGCUCAACUGACGCUCAUGCACGAAAGUGUGGGUAUCGAACAGGAUUAGAUACCCCGGUAGUC
rnacentral:rRNA from 1 species